rnacentral:lncRNA from 1 species
CUUUGGUGCCCAGAGCUAUGAAAGGUCACAGAGGCCCAAAUUCCUGCCCCAGGGAACACAUGAUCACUUUCUAUUAGAGGACUGUUAACUAACUUGGGGACCAUAUUUCAAAACUGUCACAUGGAGAUUUAGGGAAAACCUCCUGGAAGAAGUGGCUUGGCUAAGUUUUGAAAAGUGCAUAGGGGUGAGAACAGGGAGAGAAGAGGAAAGAGGACAUGCUGUGGAGGGGCCAGCAAACGAGAAACUCAGGAGGCAGAAAAUCUCAGGUCUGAUUCAAAGGACUCUGGCUCAAGAGGGGAAAGUGUGUGCUAAGAUGGGUGGUGGGAAAGGCAGAGGAGGGAGGCAAAGGUCUUUGUGUGUUAAGCUAUAGAAUUUGAAAUUAGUGUUGAAUGCAGAAAUAAUGAAAGAUUUUAAGCAGGGGAAUAAGGUCAUUGGUGGAUUCACUAGGAUGCUCUUGGCUGCCAGUAACAGAGCACAUGACUAAAGUGGCUUACAUAGAGGGAGGCUGAUAAUUUCUGUUAGGAAGGUAGUUCUAGGGCUGAUGCAGCAAAUUCUACCAGCCUCAGCACCUCUGUGGCAUCAUUCCUCAUAAUUACAAGGUAGCUGCUAUGGCUCCAAGCAUCAUGGCUUUAUUACAGCAUGCAAAACAGGAAACAAGGAUACACAUAUCUAUACCGGUGGCUCUCAUUGGGUGCAAUUUUGCCACGUCUGAAAGCAUUUUUGGUUAUCACAACUUGGGAGCAGCUGCUGGCAUCUAAAAAUGAAAAUCAUGGUAUUCCAGAGACUGGCGAUGAUGGAGCAAACAACAGCAGCUAUAACCAUUGAGAGGUUUGGUUUGCACACCCACAGCAAGGAAAAUCAGCACCCAGAGGAUGCAUCUGUGAAGAGUCAAGGCAGCAUCUGCUAAAAACAGCUGGUGAAGGGGCUUCUGGGGCUGGAGCCUGGAGACAUCAGAAGAAGCUCCGUGAGGAACACGGGGAGAGUCAGCUGUGAAGUUUGGCAGCUCAGAAGCCUUCCUAAUGGGAGAGUGGCAAGGUUCCAUUGAAGAUGGGCAUGUGGGAUGGGAGAAGUCGCUGUGGUCAUUUUUGGAAAAUACAGUCUCUCAUAAAGGACCAGAGUAAUCUCCCAUAUUUGAAGGCCUGUAUUGAGUCAUGAUUGAAUAUUUUACUAUCUAAGUUAAAUAAUCUAAUUCCAAAGGGUCAAAGACAAUUUAGAGUUUGAUAGAACCUUGAAGAUGCUCUGGUUUAGUCAUUGGAUUGUAAGAUGAAAAACCCUGAGCUCUCAAGAGUUGAAAUGGCUUGCCCAGUUUACCUAGCUGGCCAGAGGCACAGCCUCAUGGAGAAUCCCAGGCUCCUGCUCCCCCUUGCUCCAGCCCACCCUUGGGGAACUCUGAUGGUCGCCUCACUGGAAUCACCCCCCUUCUUUCUUCCAACAGGCUGAUUUUGUUCAGGUAUUCACCCUGCCCAAAUGGCUUAUGUGCUCCAAGGGAAGCUGACCGUGCCAUGUUGCUCUACCUAUAGCCAAGGCCAGCAUGGCAGGAGCAGCUUGCCGCCAGUCUGCAGCAGUGGAAACCUCCACCCCGAGAGCCACAAAGUCAAUACUGUCAGUGGAAAACAGAGCUGGGGCCACUGGAUUAGGUUGGCACAGGCCUGCUCUGCUGAACUUCCCAUUUUGUGAAUUAACUGUCUCCUUAGUAUUCAAGCCACUUUAAGUUCAGUUUUCUGUUACUUGCAGCUGAAAGAACCCUCAAGAAAGUAUUCCUAUUUCUGGGAUUAAUCCUGACUUUGGGAAGGGGAAUUUAAGGAGAUUUAGCUCAAUACUAUAGGUCUAUGCAUCAGGCAUUGACAGUGUGCCCCUGACCUUAGCCUGGUUUCUGAGAACUUGGAUUUUCUCUCAUUCUCUUGAUUCAAAUCUCUACCUGAGAGCAGCUCCGUCCCUCCAGAACCCAUUCUUGGUACUCUUGUCACUCUCAGUUGCUGCUCAGGGCUGGAGUCCUCUCUGCUUCCAAAAUUUCACGCUGAUGGCUAUAGCCUUGUAACCCACUGUUGUCCCAGGUGCCUUCUCACCUGCUGCUUAUCCUCCUGGAUUUCAGAGAAUCACUACUCCUGGAGUCUUCUUUGUUGAGUGCUGAAUUCUGCCCCUCUUAGCAUAUGUCUGGUUGGGCCCAAGUGCUAUAUGCUCAUCUGUUUUUUUGUCUAUUACUGUCUUAAUCUGUUUUGUGCUUUUAUAACAGAAUACCACAGACUGGGUAACUUAUAAUGAACAGAAAUUUAUUGGCUCAUAAUUCCAGAGCCUGGGAAGUCCAAAUCAAGUCAUCUGAAACAAUAUCUGCUCUUGGAGUCACUGCCACCAAGGGAAUAACUUUACCUGGAAUAUGGACUGGGAGCUCAAGCCAAAAGCAUGGACAAGGGAGUCCCAGAUUACAGGAUACUAUUAUGACUUUUGCAUAAAUAUAAACUCCUAUUAGAUAAAUUGAUAAGAUGUGCUCUGGUUAGCUAUUGCUGUGUAACAAACCACCCCAAACAGUGGUUUAAAGCAAUGACAUUCUAGGGUUGGCUGGGCUCAGCCAGGUGGUUCUUAUGUGGUCUAUCAUUAAGGUGCAAAAAGAUAGUGGCUGGGUUAGGGCCAUUCUGAAGAGUUAUUCACUCACAGGUCUAGAACCUGGGCUGAAGGACUCAAACAGCUGGAGGAUCUAUCUAUCUAUCUAUCUAUCUAUCUAUCUAUCUAUCUAUCUAUCAUCUUCUAUCUAUCUAUCUAUCAUUAUCUUUCAAUCUCCUCCAUAUGAUCUCUCCCCAAAGUGGCUCCAGGGUAACCAGACUUCUUACAUGACAGCUGGAGCCUUGGAGUAAGUUUCCUAAAGAGACACUGGUAGAAGCUGCAUGAUCUUUUCUAAUCUGACUUCAGAAGUCACACUUCUACUACAUUCUGUUCAUUAAUGCAGCCACAAGGGCCCGCCCAAGUUCAAGAGGUGAGGAUACUGACUCUGUCUCUUAAUGUGCAGAGUGUCAAAUAAUUUACAAGCACGUUUCAAAAACCACCAGAAGUUGCAAGAAUGAAUCAGUUAGUGUUGAUGAAUAUCAAUAUAAUAUAGUUACAAAAUGAAUUAUUGCAAGAUUUAAAAUUUGCAAACUCUGAUAGUCACCUAGUGACCAUCUCACCAAGCAUUUCUAGAGGUGCCCACCACUUGAUUUCCAGCCUAGGUGCUGCCCUGGCCUAAGCAGAGACCCCAGUUAUACAUUGGAGUAGGCAAUGGAGAGUCAAGAUGACCUGAUUCUGUCAUGCUGAGUCAUAUGACCUUUGAUAUAUCACUUUAACUUACUGGGCCUCAUGUUUCUCCUGCAUAGUGGAGAUACUAGCCUUGCCUUACCUAUGUUGAAGAAUUGUGAUGAGACUCAAAUAAGAAUGUACUUUAUAACUGCAAAGUGUUCUACAAAGGAAGAGAAUGCUCCCUCCUGUUUCUUGCCUCUUCUGAACACUGGUGAAGCCAUGAGGCCUUAAGAACCUUGUCACAUUAAAGGUUAACCCUCCAGGAAUCUUCUGUUACACAUUUCUUCCCAAUAGCCCUGGGUUCUCAUGGUGUCCACUGGCGCCUAUUUACUGGGUUCUUCUGGGAGGGAUGGAGUGUUUGGCUUUUCCCCACGUGGCUUGACUGCUGGCAAUCACCUCUGUGUGCUUUUUUUUUUUUUUUUUUUUUUUUUUUUUUAUGGAGUCUUGCUCUGUAGUCCAGGCUGGAGUGCAGUGGCAUGAUCUCAGCUCACUGCAACCUCUGCCGCCUGGGUCCCGGUUCAAGCAAUUCUGCCUCAGCCUCCUGAGUAGCUGGGAUUACAGGCACGUGCCACCAUGCCCAGCUAAUUUUUGUAUUUUUAAUAGAGACAGGGUUUCACCAUGUUGGCCAGGCUGGUCUUGAACUCUUGAUCUCGUGAUCUGCUUGCCUCAGCUGCCAAAGUGCUGCGAUUAUAGGCAUGAGCCACCGCGCCUGGCCCUGUGUGCUCUUUAUUAUGGGAUGGCUUUUCCAGUCCACAGGGAGGAUCUUCCCUACAACUGACAGCAUAAGGCUGGGUUCAAGGGGUGAAAUGGACAGUGCUUUGGGACCUGGUGGCAGAAAAGCUAAUGUGAAACUGACAGAAGAGAAAUUUAUUUACCAACUCUCCAAUCUACACCUCCAACACAGACUUGCUUUUCUUUUAAAGGACCCAAGUUUGCUUCUUUUCAAAACAUUAAAAAUAUUUAGUCAGAGACAGUUCAGCCUCUCAGUGCUUCCUCUUUAGCAGAGAAGAUCCAGAAACACCUGUCACAGGCACAACCUAUGGAUUUAUUUAUUUAUUUAUUUAUUUAUUUAUUUAUUUAUU